rnacentral:rRNA from 1 species
GACGAACGCUGGCGGCGUGCUUAACACAUGCAAGUCGAACGAAGUGGCGAACGGGUGAGUAACGCGUAAUCAACCUGCCCUUCAGGGGGGGACAACAGUUGGAAACGACUGCUAAUACCGCAUACGGAAGGCGGGGUUUGCGUCGGAUUAGCUAGCUGGGGGGGUAACGGCCCACCAAGGCGAGGAUCAGUAGGCGGGCUGGGAGGAUGAACGGCCACCUUGGGAAUGAGACCAGGCCCAGACUCCGAAGGGAGGCAGCAGUGGGGAAUCUUCCGCAAUGGACGAAAGUCUGACGGAGCAACGCCGCGUGAGUGAUGACGGCCUUCGGGUUGUAAAGCUCUGUUAAUCGGGACGCGGUACCGGAAUAGAAAGCCACGGCUAACUACGUGCCAGCAGCCGCGGUAAUAC